rnacentral:rRNA from 1 species
UAAAGCUAGAAAGAGCGCAGGGCGGAUGCCUUGGCAUUGGGAACCGAAGAAGGACGCGGUUAACUGCGAAAAGCUGCGGUGAGUUGUAAGCGAACUAAGACCCGCAGAUAUCCGAAUGGAGCAAUCCACAUGAGAGAAGCUCAUGUAUCAUAUACUGAAUCAAUAGGUAUAUGAGGGGAACCUCCCGAACUGAAACAUCUAAGUAGGGAGAGGAAAAGAAAUCAACCGAGAUUUCGAGAGUAGUGGCGAGCGAAAUCGAAAGAGGCCAAACCGACGGAAGCAAUUCAGUCGGGGUUGCGGACUGCAAAAAGCAUUGUCGAAGCUUAAUAGAACAGGAUGGGAAGCCUGACCGAAGAACGUGAAAGUCGUGUAAAUGAAAAGCAGAGACAGCAGGCAGAAUCCAGAGUACCGCGGGACACGAGAAACCCCGUGGGAAGCAGGGGGGACCACCCUCCAAGCCUAAAUAUUCCCCAAUGACCGAUAGCGAAGAGUACUGUGAAGGAAAGGUGAAAAGAACCCCGGGAGGGGAGUGAAAAAGAACCUGAAACCCUGUGCUUACAAGCACUGAGAGCACGUCAAAGUGUGAUCAGGUACCUUUUGUAGAAUGGUCCGGCGAGUUAUCGUAUGCAGCAAGGUUAAGAACUUAAGGUUUGAAGCCGAAGCGAGAGCAAGUCUGAAAAGGGCAUCAAGUUGCAUGCGAUAGACCCGAAACCGAGUGACCUAGCCAUGUCCAGGCUGAAGUGGAGGUAAAACUCCAUGGAGGGCCGAACCGACCCCCGUUGAAAAGGUGGCGGAUGAGGUGUGGCUAGCGGAGAAAUUCCAAUCGAACUCGGAUAUAGCUGGUUCUCCCCGAAAUAGCUUUAGGGCUAGCGUUGUAUUAGAUUACCGGAGGUAAAGCACUGAAUGGGCUAGGGGCCGAAAGGUUACUGAACCUUAUCAAACUAAGAAUGCCGGAUAAUUGAUGUACAGCAGUCAGACUGUGUGAGAUAAGUCUCACAGUCGAAAGGGAAACAGCCCAGACCCACAGCUAAGGUCCCAAAAUAGAUUUAAGUGGAAAAGGAUGUGGGGUUGCACAGACAACCAGGAUGUUGGCUUAGAAGCAGCCACUCAUUAAAAGAGUGCGUAAUAGCUCACUGGUCGAGUGACCCUGCGCCGAAAAUUCAACGGGGCUAAAAUCUAUACCGAAGCUUGGGCUGCAAUUGAAAGAUUGCGGGGUAGGGGAGCGUCGUAUAAGAGGAGAAGUCAUAGCGGAAGCGAUGGUGGAUUUUAUACGAGUGAGAAUGCCGGAAUGAGUAGCGAGAAUUAUGUGAGAAUCAUAAUGGCCGAAAAUCUAAGGAUUUAGGAGGAAGGUUCGUCCGCUCCUAGUAAGCCGGGAGCUAAGGCGAGGCGGAAACGCGUAGCCGAUGCACAUACGGUAGAAAUUCCGUAGCCUCUGAAAGAUUUAAGCACAAGGACACUUGAGAAGCGUUUAUCCGGGAGUUGGUAUUCCCGGUCGUAAGGGACCCCGAAUGGGGGAAGUAAAUGUGGAUUGAGGCAAGAAAAGUUGUGUGAAUAUCUGAAGAGCCCGUACCGCAAACCGACACAGGUAGAUAGGAAGAGAAUUCUAAGGCCAACGGGAGAAGGGUUGUUAAGGAACUCGGCAAGUUGACUCCGUAACUUAGGGAGAAGGAGUGCUCGAAAGAGCCGCAGAGAAUAGGCCCAAGCGACUGUUUAGCAAAAACACAGCUCUAUGCUAAAUCGAAAGAUGACGUAUAUGGGGUGACACCUGCCCGGUGCUGGAAGGUUAAGAGGAGAAGUGAGAGCUUUGAAUCGAAGCCCCAGUAAACGGCGGCCGUAACUAUAACGGUCCUAAGGUAGCGAAAUUCCUUGUCAGGUAAGUUCUGACCCGCACGAAUGGUGUAACGAUUUGGGCACUGUCUCAACAACCCGCCCGGCGAAAUUGUAGUACCGGUGAAGAUGCCGGUUACCCGCGACUAGACGGAAAGACCCCAUGGAGCUUCACUGUAGCUUAAUAUUGGAUUUUGGUAUUUCAUGUACAGGAUAGGUGGGAGACUGAGAAGCAAAGGCGUCAGCUUUUGUGGAGUCGCUGUUGGGAUACCACUCUUGAAGUGCUGAAAUUCUAACCUGCGCCCUUGAAUCAGGGCGGGGGACAUUGUUAGGUGGGCAGUUUGACUGGGGCGGUCGCCUCCAAAAAGGUAACGGAGGCGCUCAAAGGUUCGUUCAGCACGGACGGAAAUCGUGCAUUGAGUG